GAAGUGCACUUGACAACAAGAUGGAGCGCCAGAAAAAGAAAAAAAAGCUAUCCGGGGCGCAAAGCAGAAAAAGGAAAAGGGAGAAGAAUAAAGAUGUUGGCGGGAUGAAAAAAAGCCUUUCAGUGUGGUUGAAAGACAGCAGUGGAGAACGCCACAGACAAAGGGUGAAGGAGACAGGCAAUGAGGUCGGUGAUAGAAGAGACAAGUGAUGACAUCAGGCAGACACGGUGAGUCAACCACCACAAAGGAGAAUGUGAAACAGAAAGGUGCAGAUGAGGGAGAGAGAAGCAGAGAGGACCAGAUGAUGAAGAAGAGGUAGAGGAGCAGAGAGUGCUGAGGCCAGGCUUUAUUCAGAAGAUCCAUUUGAAUGUUCUUUACCACACAAAACGGGGGACACAUUUAGGCAGUACAUGGUUGAGAACGGCCCACACAAAGUUUCUGAUGGCCCAUAUCCAAGAUCAGAGAAGAGUAAGAGGUGUUUUUCCAAAG